UGUGCUCUUCUUCCAGGGCAGGCUAAGAUUUCCACUUAACAACUAAUAAGCAAUUUUUUUCUCUUUGCCAAGUCACACAGGAAAUGAUCCAAGCUAAUCUGCUGUCUUGACCCUGGACAAGUCUCUUCCUCUGCAGGAAGGGGUACGUGGAUCAAAUGCUUGAGAGGCCUUCUGUGGCUAUAGCACCUUCAGGAUUUCACAUUUUCCCCAUCGAACGACACCUGUGUUCCUCCCCAACUGCUGAGUUCCUCUGCCCUUGGUUGGAAAGCAUCUCAUCACUGCCUCCAAUGGUGCAGUCAGUAAUUCAUUCCUCCAACCUUCACCACAUGACUCAGAACAAGGAACAGAACUUUGAAUCACUGUAUAGCGUCUAGACACCCAUGCCAUGAUACAACUGUGCUGCCUUAGAAGAGAAACUUCAAAGUCACAUGCUGUCCCAGAGUAGAACAACAGUUUAGGACAGAGAGCAUCCAUUGAUGCUGACAAGCCUUGGCAAUGUACUAACAACUCUAUCUACACUGCCUCGUUUAAUCACCACAAAGGCCCUACUAGCACAGAAAGCCAGCAUCCUUUCACGAAGCCCAUGAGACGACUGUGGAGGGCCAAGAGCUAACAUCUUUAUCCAUCUUGAAGCCCAAUCGAUGGCCUCCAGGGCAGCCGGGGACCUCCUUUGUUGUGUCAUAGCACCCUGUCUCUUGCAGAUAACACUCACUCAACUAUCAAUUAUUUGUUUUCCUGCCACAU